rnacentral:rRNA from 1 species
GACGAACGCUGGCGGCGUGCCUAAUACAUGCAAGUCGAACGCACAGUUUAUACCGUAGCUUGCUACACCAUAGACUGUGAGUUGCGAACGGGUGAGUCACGCGUAGGUAACCUGCCUGGUAGCGGGAGAUAACUAUUGUAAACGAUAGCUAAUACCCCAUAAUAUUAAUUAUUCCAUGAUAAUUCAUUGAAAGGUGCAAUUGCACCACUACCAUAUGGACCUGCGUUGUAUUAGCUAGUAGGGGAGGUAACGGCUCACCUAGGCGGCGAUACAUAGCCGACCUGGGAAGGUGGUCGGCCAAACUGGGACUGGGACACGGGCCAGAAUCCUACGGGAGGGAGCAAGAGGGAAACAUCGGAAAUGGACGGAAGUCUGAACGAGGAAAGCCGGGGGAGUGAAGAAGGUUUUCGGAUCGGAAAGGUCUGUUGUAAGGGAAGAACGGGUGUGAGAGUGGAAAGUUCACGCUGUGACGGUAUCUAAACAGAAAGGAACGGCUAACUACGUG